GGAUUAGAUACCCGGGUAGUCCACGCCGUAAACGAUGAGUGCUAGGUGUUGGGGGGGUCCACCCCUCGGUGCCGAAGUUAACACAUUAAGCACUCCGCCUGGGGAGUACGGUCGCAAGACUGAAACUCAAAGGAAUUGACGGGGACCCGCACAAGCAGUGGAGUAUGUGGUUUAAUUCGAAGCAACGCGAAGAACCUUACCAGGUCUUGACAUCCCUCUGAAACUGUUAGAGAUAGCAGCGGCCUUCGGGACAGAGGAGACAGGUGGUGCAUGGUUGUCGUCAGCUCGUGUCGUGAGAUGUUGGGUUAAGUCCCGCAACGAGCGCAACCCUUGAACUUAGUUGCC
rnacentral:rRNA from 1 species